rnacentral:rRNA from 1 species
AUUGAACGCUGGCGGCAUGCCUAACACAUGCAAGUCGAACGGCAGCACGGCAGUAGCAAUACUGUGGGUGGCGAGUGGCGGACGGGUGAGGAAUACGUCGGAAUCUGCCCAGUCGUGGGGGGAUAACUAGCCGAAAGGUUAGCUAAUACCGCAUACGACCGAGAGGUGAAAGCGGGGGACCGCAAGGCCUCGCGCGAUUGGAUGAGCCGACGUCGGAUUAGCUAGUUGGAGGGGUAAAGGCCCACCAAGGCGACGAUCCGUAGCUGGUCUGAGAGGAUGAUCAGCCACACUGGAACUGAGACACGGUCCAGACUCCUACGGGAGGCAGCAGUGGGGAAUAUUGGACAAUGGGCGCAAGCCUGAUCCAGCAAUGCCGCGUGUGUGAGAAGGCCUCGGUGUAAGCACUUUAUCUAGACGAAAGACGU